rnacentral:lncRNA from 7 species
GACCGGGGAUGAAUCGACCGGAGAGAAUGAGAGAAGUCAGGGGACGAAUCGACCGGAGAGAAUGAGAGAAGUCAGGGGAGGAAUCGUCUCCGUCGUGCCGCCAUCUUCUCCACUAAGUUGACGCCGGUCGCUAGUCGCCGCUCUCGACGUCCCCCCUCCUCCGUCGUCCACUGCCCUUGGCACUACACCAGUGUCGUCCGCCGCAUCAUCGUUCCUGCUUCGCCGCAUACUCGCCGCGCCGUCGCCGACAAGGACCAUCCGGGCUGAGGCCUGCUAAAAUCUCCACCACUUCUCUGACUACUUCGUCAUCUCCUCCACGUUCGACAUAGAUACAAAUGUCUUUUCCCCCAUCGGAGCUGAGUACAUCCGAGUGUCCUCACUGAUAGGAUUGUUAAUGGCGUCCGGUCAAAAAUAAGUUAGCUAUACCAUCCUCACCCUCGGAGCUCCGUACAUGCGAGUGUCCUCGCUGUUAGGGUCCACAUGCUUCAUCAACUUCAACAUAUUUACUCAAGGGAAAAAAGGCUGCUUGAUUAAGAGUAAAGAAGAAGACGAAGAAAGCGAAGAAAUGAGAAAAGGCUGAAGCUUAGGUGAACCAUUAGGCCGAAGGGACUUUCGUAUUUUGGAAUGAACACUUAUGCAGUUAAACUACUGCUUAUUGUAAUAUAGCAUUUUACUCUUUGUAGUGUUUUCCCUUUUUUACUCUAAAUGCUUUUGUUGUGUGUGAAACCAAGUAUUUCUAGUAUUUUGAGGCGAAGGCGAAAAACACCUUGCCUUCUUUU